AGAACGAACGCUGGCGGCAUGCCUAACACAUGCAAGUCGAACGAGACCUUCGGGUCUAGUGGCGCACGGGUGCGUAACGCGUGGGAAUCUGCCCCUUGGUUCGGAAUAACAGUGGGAAACUACUGCUAAUACCGGAUGACGACGUAAGUCCAAAGAUUUAUCGCCGAGGGAUGAGCCCGUGUAGGAUUAGCUAGUUGGUGAGGUAAUGGCUCACCAAGGCGACGAUCCUUAGCUGGUCUGAGAGGAUGAUCAGCCACACUGGGACUGAGACACGGCCCAGACUCCUACGGGAGGCAGCAGUGGGGAAUAUUGGACAAUGGGCGCAAGCCUGAUCCAGCAAUGCCGCGUGAGUGAUGAAGGCCUUAGGGUUGUAAAGCUCUUUUACCAGGGAUGAUAAUGACAGUACCUGGAGAAUAAGCUCCGGCUAACUCCGUGCCAGCAGCCGC
rnacentral:rRNA from 1 species